AAGGUUUGACAUGGAGGGCAAAGUUGAAGAAAUUCAACGGAGGUUAUCCCGACACAGGUGGUGCAUGGUCGUCGUCAGUUCGUGCUGUGAAGCAUAUGCUUAAGUGCUAUAACGAACGCAACCCUCGUAUUUAGUUACUAUCAUUCAGUUGAGAACUCUAAAUAGACUGCUAAGGUAACUUAGAGGAAGGAGAGGAUGACGUCUGAUCAUCAUCGCCCCUUAUAUCUUGGGCUA
rnacentral:rRNA from 1 species